rnacentral:rRNA from 1 species
GACGAACCGAGCGAACGUUGUUCGGAAUCACUGGGCUUAAAGGGCGCGUAGGCGGCCAACUAAGUCAGACGUGAAAUCCCUCGGCUUAACCGGGGAACUGCGUCUGAUACUGGAUGGCUUGAGUGUGGGAGAGGGAUGCGGAAUUCCAGGUGUAGCGGUGAAAUGCGUAGAUAUCUGGAGGAACACCGGUGGCGAAGGCGACAUCCUGGACCACGACUGACGCUGAGGAGCGAAAGCCAGGGGAGCAAACGGG